rnacentral:rRNA from 1 species
AUUGAACGCUGGCGGCAUGCCUUACACAUGCAAGUCGAACGGCAGCGGGGGAGAAGCUUGCUUUUCCUGCCGGCGAGUGGCGAACGGGUGAGUAAUACAUCGGAACGUGCCCUGUAGUGGGGGAUAACUAGUCGAAAGAUUAGCCAAUACCGCAUACGACCUGAGGGUGAAAGUGGGGGAUCGCAAGGCCCCAUGCUAUAGGAGCGGCCGAUGUUUGCUUAGCUAGUGGGUGGGGUAAAGGCCUACCAAGGCGACGAUCAGUAGCUGGUCUGAGAGGACGAUCAGCCACACUGGGACUGAGACACGGCCCAGACUCCUACGGGAGGCAGCAGUGGGGAAUUUUGGACAAUGGGCGAAAGCCUGAUCCAGCAAUGCCGCGUGUGUGAAGAAGGCCUUCGGGUUGUAAAGCACUUUUGUCCGGAAAGAAAUGGCUCUGGUUAAUACCUGGGGUCGAUGACGGUACCGGAAGAAUAAGGACCGGCUAACUACGUGCCAGCAGCCGCCGUAAGAC